GGGUGGGAACGCGACUGGCGGCACGGGGAUGGCACCAACCAUCGGGGAGCUCGCCGUGGGAGUCGACCGCCUGGGCACCCACG
rnacentral:ncRNA from 1 species